UAGUAGCAAUUUACUCGCGUGAAAUAUUGCGUACGUACGCGAGAAAACUAAAUUCCAUUUCUUUGCUCGUCCUUUUCUCUAAUAAAUAAUAAAUAUUUGUGAUCGUAAUAUAUACAAGAAAAUUAUCUUACAGUGAAGAAGUUUUGAAAAGGCUAAUGGCUUUUUCAGAAAUCCCCAUUAAGACCCAGAAUGGAAACUCUUUUCGAUGGCCUGUAGAUUUUUACCAGGAAAAUACAACCGAUGAUUAUAAAUUGCUAUAAGGGAAAUAGAGCAACAUGGAAACAGGGAAAAGAUGCUUCUACAAUUGCCCAUGCCUUUGCUGUCGCCAGGGAUGCUGCGUCAUUGUUGUAGGCUGCUGUUGCUGCUGCAUCAACAUCCACUGCUGCAACAAAUGCAGCUCGAGGACUAGCUACUCUCCACCGCCACUAGCACGGAAAAAAGCUUGUGGUACUGGUGGUUUGGUCGUAUCCGUUGUAGUGAGUACAAUUAUUGCGCUCGCACGUUGGACAACGGCCAUAGCAACUCUUAUAUCAAGCUGCAUGCUACUAGAGCUCUGUGGAGGUGGGAGCUGUACCAACAACAAGCCCGUUCCCGUUCCUACUGCAGCCAGUGCCAGUGUCAGCAGCAAUUCGGAUGCCAAGCUUAAGUCGCUUUAUGGCCAUAGUUUAUACGAUAUCACCAAUGAUCAGCAACUGAAAUCGAAGAACCUCUGCAAAAUGUUUUGCAACAGUCGCAAUCGCAAGCGACAGCGGAGAAGAAGAAGACGACGCAGGCGUAGACGACGUAGGCACAGCCAUAAUGGCAGCCGAACGGAUAGCAACAAACAGCAGCAACAACAGCAACAGCAGCACCAAACGCAACAGCAGGAAAGCAUAUUUCGACAAAGACUUAGUCAUAGCCUUCGCGCUGACACAUGCGCUUCCAUAGAUGCAUUCGAAGCGAUUAACGCAACUGUACCAAAAGCGAAUCGGCUACGAAGCACGCCAACAAGAAAUGUUCGAUUAUCCUCUUUAAAAGCUAUCAUAUCGUCGUGGCCGUCGGGGAAUAGCAGCCCAAUACGUCACUGUUCGAAGAUUAAACGUAAUCGAGCCAAUCUCAUCUGGCUGCUCAUUGGACUUGUUUGGUUUGAGGUGAAACUAAUUAACUGCAAUGCCAUCGGAAGCAGCAGUAGCUAUGGCUCCAAUUAUGUGAAUCAUAAGGGAUGUACCAUAUGUCAUGAGGAAGGCAAAGCCAAUUUCUACAGCGAUAAAGAUAAUCCACACACAGACUACAACAACUACAACAAGUACAAUAACAACAAUUAUUUCUACAAAAAAACUAAUCGACCCCAUAAUAAUAUUGCACCGAGCGACAGAGUUCGCUUAGAGUCAAUUAAACGGCAAAUUUUGACGAAGCUUGGCCUUACCCAUAAGCCAAACGUAUCUCAUCCUUUACCCAAGCAAUUUAUUUGGGAAACAAUAUAUCGGGCAGACGGUGGAAGGAUGGCUUCUAACGAUGCAUUUGACAGCAGUAGUAGCGAUUUCGAUCAGCGUUCGCGAUUGCGGGAACUAUCCCCAUCCGAAAUACAUAGGUUCAAUGAACGAGACGGGACAGUUUUCGCUACUAGUGAUCCAGAUCCUCAUCAGGAUCGAUAUCGCUCUCCGGUUGCAUAUACUUUUAACGUCAGUAGAAGCCAUAUAUAUGAAAAAUUCAUGAGAGAUCGAACAGCGAUCCGAGCAAGGCAAAAGAAUCACGAAGACGAUGUGCAAAGUAUAACCUUAAAGAAUUGGCCAGAUAUACGCCAGAUUAAAAUUAACUCUCGCAGUGGGUCUACACACCAGCCCAAGAAUAUCCAUACCACUGCCUCUAAGCCCCAGAGAAAUGGUCAUGGCAGUGACAGCAGGAAUAGCAAUGGCAUCGGUGACAGAAAAGGCAAUUCGAAUGCGUUCAGCAAAUCUACAUAUCUGAUAGAUAUAAAUCGUAGUAGUGAUAGUAGGGCCAAUAUUGGCAUUAACGGCGGGAUCAAACCAAAUGAUCAUGUUUAUUUUAACGAUUACAGUGUUCAGGUCCAUGACAAAAGCCAGUACGAGCCGCUACAUGGAAGCAGCACCAGAAACGGACAACAUCCAAUGAACAUAGACUUUUUCAGCGGUAUUGAACAGGAUGAGAAACCAAAGCGGAACGACGACUCGGUUAUGUCAGACCAGGAAAACUUUGAUCGUGAAGACUUCUUUGGGAACACUCAGGAAAUAAUUACGUUUGCUGAAGAAGACAUGAUGCCUCAGGAAACCAAAUGGAGCGCGACGGUGGAAAGUCAUAAGUCAUAAUGGUCCACCUGAGUUUGAAAGAACUUAAAGGGUAGCAGGACGUUUAAAACGUACAACUUAAGUGUUUGGUGUACAAUUGGGUGCUCAAAAGGAACACAAUAUAGACAAUAUCGAAUAUUGGAAUUUGCUCCACAAAAAGAGCGUGUUCCUAGCCAAAAACUAUACAUACGCAGCGCCCAGAUAC
rnacentral:misc_RNA from 1 species